rnacentral:rRNA from 1 species
UACGUAGGGUGCGAGCGUUAAUCGGAAUUACUGGGCGUAAAGCGUGCGCAGGCGGUUUUGUAAGCCCGAUGUGAAAUCCCCGGGCUUAACCUGGGAAUGGCAUUUGGGACUGCAAGGCUUGAGUGCGGCAGAGGAGACUAGAAUUCCUGGUGUAGCAGUGAAAUGCGUAGAUAUCAGGAGGAAUACCGAUGGCGAAGGCAGGUCUAUGGGCUGACACUGACGCUCAUGCACGAAAGCGUGGGGAGCAAACAGG